rnacentral:rRNA from 1 species
AGAGUUUGAUCCUGGCUCAGGAUGAACGCUGGCGGCGUGCCUAACACAUGCAAGUCGAGCGAAGCACUUAACUUUGAUCCUUCGGGUGAAGAGUUCUGUGACUGAGCGGCGGACGGGUGAGUAACACGUAGGCAACCUGCCUCACACAGGGGGAUAACAGUUAGAAAUGACUGCUAAUACCGCAUAAGCGCACAGGGCCGCAUGGCCCGCGG